AACCUUUACACUGUACGCCAGUGCGAUAAGGGGAUCCCGAGUGCGCAGGCAUAGAGCCUGCGCUUUUCUGAACUGUAGGGAGGUUCAGGAACAAGAGCUGGGCAAGACCGGUGCCAGCCGCCGCGGUAAUACCGGCAGCUCGAGUGAUGGCCGAUCUUAUUGGGCCUAAAGCGUCCGUAGCUGGCCGUGCAAGUCCGUCGGGAAAUCCACCCGCUCAACGGGUGGGCGUCCGGCGGAAACUGCAGGGCUUGGGACCGGGAGGCUUGAAGGGUACGUCCGGGGUAGGAGUGAAAUCCUGUAAUCCUGGACGGACCGCCGAUGGGGAAACCACUUCAAGAGAACGGAUCCGACAGUGAGGGACGAAAGCUAGGGUCUCGAACCGGAUUAGAUACCCGGGUAGUCCUAGCUGUAAACGAUGCUCGCUAGGUGUGCCGUAGGCUACGAGCCUGCGCUGCGCCCUAGGGAAGCCGAGAAGCGAGCCGCCUGGGAAGUACGUCCGCAAGGAUGAAACUUAA
rnacentral:rRNA from 1 species